rnacentral:rRNA from 1 species
CCUACGGGUGGCUGCAGUGAGGAAUAUUGGUCAAUGGGCGGAAGCCUGAACCAGCCAAGUCGCGUGAGGGAAUAAGGCCCUACGGGUCGUAAACCUCUUUUGCCGGGGAGCAAGGGCGGGGACGUGUCCCGGCCCGGAGAGUACCCGGAGAAAAAGCAUCGGCUAACUCCGUGCCAGCAGCCGCGGUAAUACGGAGGAUGCGAGCGUUAUCCGGAUUUAUUGGGUUUAAAGGGUGCGCAGGCGGCGAUUUAAGUCAGCGGUAAAAUUUCGGGGCUCAACCCCGACGAGCCGUUGAAACUGGCUGGCUAGAGUGGGCGAGAAGUAUGCGGAAUGCGUGGUGUAGCGGUGAAAUGCAUAGAUAUCACGCAGAACCCCGAUUGCGAAGGCAGCAUACCGGCGCCCGACUGACGCUGAAGCACGAAAGCGUGGGUAUCGAACAGGAUUAGAUACCCUUGUAGUC